ensembl:lncRNA
UUAGUUCAGCAAAAAGAUGGAGCAGUACGUUCUUUUUAAAGGAAGCAAAAGGGUAACGUUGAGGGACGAUGACAUGAGCGCGGAGAAGAUAGGUCGAAUUUUUCAGGUGAGUACAAACAUCAGUAUUAUUAGUUUACAGAGAAAAAACACAUGAUCUUCGAAAUGCACGGUAACUUUUUUCGUUCAGCUUUAUUACUAACGUUACAUGUUUCAAACUAGCUUUACAGUAAAAAAUCAAUAAGAGAAAAUUAGCUAAUCAAUGCUGGAUAGAUAAAUGUAAGCAAACAGUGUCGAUACUGGCAAAGUGUAAUCAAUUAUGAAAUGAAAACAAUUCGGCCAUAAAUCAGUCAUAAAGACAGUGGUGUUAUCACAUGGAGUUGUGGUUAUUAACCUUGACCUUGCUAUUGUUUUUAAGGUUUCAUCGCAGACUCUGUAUUUGACAGAUGAUUCGAAUAUAGCAAUUUUCCCGGCACAGUCGGGUUAUUUCAGUGCCCUAGACUUCACUGCACGUGGGCAUUAUGAGGUCCAUGGGGAUGAAGUGGAGAAAGGGGUUCUCACCCCAGGAACACCCCUCUCAACCCCAACAGCCUCCCAGCGUUUCUCCUUUACACGCAAUACUCCACCCUCUGCAGCUGCUGGUUCACCUGCGGCGGCUGUUGCAGGACCUCCGAAAGCCGCCAUGACUCGAUCAUUUCAGAGGAUCCAUCUACUGGAAGCAAAAUGCCCGCAAGGUAUUUGCAAUUGCAGAGCACG